rnacentral:rRNA from 1 species
GACGAACGCUGGCGGCGUGCCUAAUACAUGCAAGUCGAACGCAGUGGGGACGGGUGAGUAACACGUGGGUAACCUCCCAUCAGAGGGGAUAACACUUGGAAACAGGUGCUAAACCGAUACUGAUGGAUGAACCCGCGGUGCAUUAGCUAGUUGGUGAGGUAACGGCUAACCAAGGCCACGAUGCAUAGACGGCCUGAUAGGGUAAUAGGCCACACGGGGACGGAGACACGGCACAGACUCCUACGGGAGGCAGCAGUAGGGAAUCUUCGGCAAUGGACGAAAGUCUGACCGAGCAACGCCGCGUGAGGGAAGAAGGUUUUGGGAUCGUAAAACUCUGUUGUUAGAGAAGCGGUAUCUAACCAGAAAGCCACGGCUAACUACGUGACAGCAGCCGCGGGAAGAC